GCGGUCGCUGCAAGGAGUCAUUUUGUGACUGUGAGCGCUACAGUGUUCUGAGGUCGGCGAACAUUCGCUGUGACUACUGUGAUCACUGCCCCGGAUCGCAUGGAAAAUUAGACGAGCUUGACAGCACUCCUUGGACUGGGGACUGGCAUGUUCGCGGCACAGAUGCUACUGAAGCUUCUGAACCACAAGAUUCUGGAGGAAACUGUGCAAAUGCAGACUUAUGUACCACAGCUCCUGGUGAAACAGUUGAGAGCAGCAGCUUACAACGCGCCAAUGACUUGUCCCUUCUGCCUACAAGAAGCACAAAUGAUCUGUCACUGCUGCCUAAUACAAGCACCAGGGACCUGUCCUUGCUGCCAUCGAGAAGCGCCAAUGACCUGUCCUUGCCACCUACAAGAAGCACCAAUGAUCUGCCACUGCUACCUACGAAA